AAAGAAAGCGUAAUAGCUCACUGGUCGAGUCGGCCUGCGCGGAAGAUGUAACGGGGCUAAACCAUGCACCGAAGCUGCGGCAGCGACGCUGAUGCGUUGUUGGGUAGGGGAGCGUUCUGUAAGCCUGUGAAGGUGUGUCGUGAGGCAUGCUGGAGGUAUCAGAAGUGCGAAUGCUGACAUAAGUAACGAUAAAGCGGGUGAAAAGCCCGCUCGCCGGAAGACCAA
rnacentral:rRNA from 6 species